AACUGUGGUAUUUUGUUACAGCAACCAGAAUGGACUAAGACAAAUGUCAGUAUAUAUUUCCAUGAUCUUGGCCAUUUUUUGUACUCUGUAACUUCUACUGCAACCAAGAUACAGAACAUUGCCUUACCCCAGAGAGGUCCUUUAUAUUCAUCUCCAUCAAUCCUCUCCAUCCCUUGACCACAGGCAACCACUGAUUUGCUUACUAUCUCUAAAAUAGGUUAUGCUUCUUUUUUUGUAGUUUUAUUUGACUUCCCAUUAAUAUUAACAUUUAAUCACUAUUUGGGGCAAUGGACAUGUUCCAAAAUAAGAUUGCAGUAAUGGAUGUACAAGUCUACACAUUUACUAAAAAUUAUUGAGCUAUGUCCUUACAAUGGAUUAAUUUUCUGAUUCUUCAAACUGGAUCAGUUCAUAGAGUUUUUGAGGAAGAAAAAAAAAAAAAAACAGAGAGGAUUCCUAUUAUUUUCUGACAAACUUUUUCUAUUACAUCAUUGACCAGUCCAGAGGAGAGUGUUGUUGUUGUUGUUGUUGUUGUUGUUGUUGUUUUUAACUCAUGCAAUUGCUUUUCUAAAGACAGGGAUUGUGGACAGUUAAUAAUAUCCAAUUGAAAAUCUCCUGGGUUAUUUGAGAUGCUGUUAGAAGUUCCUGUUGCCUGAAUAAUCUCAACUAUGAUUAUUUUCUUUUCUGGUUUCCUGCAAGAAAGAAAACUUACAAAGUCUGUGCUGGUUGCUGAAAUCUCCAGUUCCCUGAUCUUCCAUGUCCGAAACAAAGAAGUUAUUGUAAUCCUGUUACUGCUGCUGCUGCUUUUCCGUGUGAAUGGUGGUGCUCCAGACUCAUUAGUCCCAUCAUUCUCUGAUGGUGGCAGUCGUGAAUUCCUUACACAAUUAGUGUUCAAGUGGAUGGCUUUGAAUCCAGCUUACAGGAUGACCAGAACUGUCUGAGAAAUCAGUAAGUGCCUAAGCACUCACAGAAAUAUCUGAAAAGGAAAACCUUGACAGAGUCAGCUAUGUGAUAUGCAAGGACCCAAUGUGAAAUGAAAAGACAUGCUCCUCAUUCAAAAGACAGGAAAAAGAAAUGUCAUAAAAGUUGUGUCAUUCUGGUUCAGAGAGUAAAUUGCAAGCAGGCCACUGAUGAUGUUGCUCCAUUCAACUGCUGCAACAUCAAAGUCCAUGGAACUAUCAGUGUCUGGCAUGUACAUUUGAUUCCUGUCUUUAUGUUUUAAGCUAUUGCUAAUUAUUGCCUUUCCUUAUGAUUUUCCUCUAAUUGAUUUACAAGUUGGGAAAUUGUGAUCUCAACCCAGAAAUCAGAGUCUUCUAAAUGCAAGUAAAAUCAACAGGCUAAGGAAUGUCAUAGUCAUUUUAUUAUUUACAAGGCAACAGUUAACACAUCCAAUUUGAGUGGAAAGAAUGCCAGCGUCAGAAAACUUAAAAGUCGAGUUUUUAACCCUGUUUAUUAAUUAUGUGACCUUAAACAAGUUGCUUAGCCUUCAUGGAUCUCUUUAUUUUUUCAUAAAGUGGCAAUAAUCAUGUUUGUUCUAAGGAUCUCAUAUGGGUAUUGUGAGGACCAAAUGAUUUAAUACUUGUAAAAGACCUUUGUAGUCAUUAACACUCUAGAUCCAAUUAUUACUAUCACUCCCAUGACCUUGGCUUCAUCAUUGGCAAGUUGAAACAGCUGAGCUAACUGAGCUAACAGGUCACAGAAGUGAUUCAUUAAUAUUUAUUUCUAAUUUUUAGCUGUUAGUGAAUAUAGAUUUCGAACAUAAAAAGUAAAUGGUAAUUGUGAGUACUGUAGACUCUGUCAUUAAAAUAAAAAGGAAAAAUAGACAUCUUUUAUUUUUGUCAACUUGUUAAAUUCAUAUGAAUUUUACCUACUGCCUCCUAGGUUCUAUAAAUAGAGGGUUUCUUUCAUAAUUUUUUCCUCUUUACCCAUAAGAAUAUGUGAAUUUUCAGAGUCUGUACUACCCCUCUUAGGUGCAUAAAGAAUACAUCAAAUGAGACCAAAGAGUCACAGAUAAACUUUUGCUGUUAUUAAAUUUGAUUUGAACAGAAGAGUAGACAAUUAAAAUUGGAAAGUGUUUUGUAGAAAAGAAAGCAAUGAAAAAUUGGUCUUUAAUUGUCUUUAAAACUAAUUGGAGGCAGAGACUUCUAAAUAGGGUUAUAAUUUAUAGGCUAAUAAAUGCCACAGACAUCUUGUUAUUAACAUGAAAAUUAGCAAACAUAUAAGGAGAGACCAGUUUGGAAUAUGGCAGUUCUAAGCACAUGGAAAUAAAACACAAAUCAAUUAUACAUUUUAUUAUAUUUUAUUUGUAAUUGGAGUAUAAUGUACUCCUCUAAGAAGAGACAAUAAUAAAAUCUUCCAGGCUUUAAACCUAGUUACAAGUGAAUGAGAUAGUCUGCUUCAUGGCAUAGCAAACACUUUUUUAAGAGCAGGAUUCUUUGCUGAAAUAUGACAAAAGUUUCUCUCUCUUUUUUUCUCUUCCUCUCUAAGUUAUUGAAAGAAGUCUGUAAACUUGUAUUCAUUUUGCAUGUAAUGUGACUUUUCCCUUCAUUUUGUGGAUAGGAAAACCGAGAUAAAGAGAAAUGGAAGAAUUUCA